GGCGGACGGGUGAGGAAUACAUCGGAAUCUACUCUGUCGUGGGGGAGUAACGUAGGGAAACUUACGCUAAUACCGCAUACGACCUACGGGUGAAAGCAGGGGAUCUUCGGACCUUGCGCGAUUGAAUGAGCCGAUGUCGGAUUAGCUAGUUGGCGGGGUAAAGGCCCACCAAGGCGACGAUCCGUAGCUGGUCUGAGAGGAUGAUCAGUCACACUGGAACUGAGACACGGUCCAGACUCCUACGGGAGGCAGCAGGU
rnacentral:rRNA from 1 species